GAGACAGCAGACCACGACCACCCUGUGCUUGCUGAGUGCGCCUUCACAAGGCAAGUGCGGCGCAGGAUCUGUGAAGCUAUUGGUAUAUCCACAAUGCCAAGAGGAGCUGAGAGCUGCUUGCCCAGCAGCCAACACAGGUGAGGAAAGGUUUGGAACUUUGGAUGCUUGCUUCAUCCUCACCACCUGGAUGGUCUGGAAGGAGAUAAAUGCUCGCGUCUUCGACCAUGUCUUCACCAAUGUGGAUGCGCUAGCUGUUCUCGCGGAUCAGAAAUGAAGCACACGGCUCUAGCGCAUGGCUGGAGGACGGUGGCGCCUGGAGAAGCUCUGGCCGGACAAUGGUUCACACUUCGUGUUGCCUAGGUGCUUUUCAAGUUGUAAUAAUCUUUUGGAAAAAAAAAGUAUAUUUUUCAUCCCUCAAGUAUUCAAAAGUGUAACAUUCAUCCUUCAUAUUUCAUUUGGUGCAAAUCAACUCCUUAACUAACUAAACUAGUGUAUUUAUCAUCCCUAGCUUAGUUUAACGAUGGUUUACAUCAGUUCAUGUCAUGCAAUUAUCUUAGUCAUCACU
rnacentral:lncRNA from 1 species